GGCAUUUAUAUUUAAAUCUGCUGUUUAUACUUGUUUAGUCACUUUAGUGUAUUAAACUUCGAUAUAGAGGCAUUGAUACAAAAUGAUUUCAAGAAUAUAUCGGCAAUUAUAAUACCCACUGAAUCACUAUUCCCGACCAAAUCGACAGUAAUGAUUAAUGCCUUUAUGCUGAUACAAGAAGCAAAUGAACUUUUAGUUUAUUUGUUUGUUAUGUCACUUAAUAUGUGCAAAGCCAAAGGCGG